UUUAGACUGUAAUGCUAUGAGUCGUCCAUCAUUUAGACUGUAAUACUAUGUGAAUCCUCCAUCAUUUAGACUGUAAUACUAUGAGUCCUCCAUCAUUUAGACUGUAAUACUAUGUGAAUCCUCCAUCAUUUAGACUGUAAUACUAUGUGAAUCCUCCAUCAUUUAGACUGUAAUACUAUGAGUCCUCCAUCAUUUAGACUGUAAUGCUAUGAGUCGUCCAUCAUUUAGACUGUAAUACUAUGUGAAUCCUCCAUCAUUUAGACUGUAAUACUAUGAGUCCUCCAUCAUUUAGACUGUAAUGCUAUGAGUCGUCCAUCAUUUAGACUGUAAUACUAUGUGAAUCCUCCAUUAUUUAGUACUGUAAUACUAUGUGAAUCCUCCAUCAUUUAGACUGUAAUACUAUGAGUCCUCCAUCAUUUAGACUGUAAUGCUAUGAGUCGUCCAUCAUUUAGACUGUAAUACUAUGUGAAUCCUCCAUUAUUUAGACUGUAAAUACUAUGUGAAUCCUCUAUUCAGUCAUCUUUAACUGUAUUGCGCAAAUGUUUAAUUGAGGGGUGCUAAUAACUCAUUGAGUAAUACUGUAAAUGAUUGUAGCUAAUUGUCGGUUUUUGAUUCCCUCAGGUUUGUGUUCUCUAUUUUCCGGCUCCCUGACGUUUGGGUGAUGAAUGUUUUGACAGCCUGGUCUGCAGCAUGCAAUAACAGGACAUGAUGCACUACAGUGGUUUAUUUCACUAGUUAUUUUCUGUCUGACAACGUGAUGAUGUAAGUGAAGCUCCAGAGAGAAAUGGAGAAGAGGCUAGGACUUACCCCCUUCUGCAAAUCAUACUGGGAAUCCCACCCCUCACUGUAUGAAUGUAGCUCGUUUUAGACUACUACACUGUUUCUCCUACAGUUACUCUGUAUUAAAGCGCACAUUGUGAUGUGUAUUGAAUGACAUGGAUCAUUUCAAUAAACUACAAUAUUUGUAACAGUAAUAAGUAUGAUCAUUUAAUAAAAAAUGCAUUAACGGCAUAUGCAGGCUAAAGGAAAGGGAACUAUAGACAAGCCAAGGAUGCAGAACUAUUCAAGAAUGUCUUUGCUUUAGAUUUUUUUUUUGCAUCUUUAGUUUUGUUUUGGUGUUUUAGUCCCCAAAAUGGGUUUUAAUUAUUAUUUAUAUAAAAUGCACCCCAACCUCACCAGCUGUUUAUUCUGUGAUUUUCUCUUUAUUUGUGGCUGAAUUAUAAAUAAAUGUAUCUUGUCAAUCAAACAAUAGGCAGUGUGAAACUUUAUGACCGACUCGUCCCCAGGCUCAAUUGUUAGGUUCUGAGAGCGAGCCAGUUGAUAAACUGACAUUUCACUGAGAUUUAUCAGUUCUGUCACUAAUUUUGUUUGGUUUUUCUAAGAAGCGGUAGAUCUGUUCUAUGUGCGCUCUUCCUAUGCUUCCCGUUAAGUUUCCUUUCUGCGUCUUUUACUUUCGGUUUUGUACACCAGCUGAAAACACUAUUUGGUACAAUGAUUGAUUCUCUACGCUAUACUUGCUUGUUUUGUCACAUAUCUAAAAUUACGCAAACUAUUAUAAUUUUUGCAACCAGGAAAUGACCAUUUCUGCAUAGUGCAUCUUGAAGGAACAUCCUGUAUUUGCUCAUGCUAGUGUGCUGCUGCAGUCAAACCUGCAGGUUCCUCUGGCACUACAACGCUAUACUGCAGAUUGCUUCACCUUGACUUUGAUGUAUUAUUCUGAUUGGUGUAUUGGCUGGUGGGAGGGUUGGCUGCAGCCUACUUUGAUAAGAUGAUAUGUGGCUCCUGCUGUGAUGGGCUUGUUUUAGUGGAGCUGGCCUUGCCACUAUUGAUCUGGACU
ensembl:lncRNA